AAGACAUGCAAGUCGAACGGAAGUCGUUAUACUGAUUUGAAGAGAACUGAGAACUUGUUCAAUGGGACCGGAUUAAGAUUAUAACAAUGGCUUUAGUGGCGGACUGGUGAGUAAUACGUAAGCAACCUGCCUAUCAGAGGGGGAACAACAGAUAGAAAUGUCUGCUAAUACCGCAUAUGCUAUAUGAAUCACAUGAUUCAAGUAGGAAAGGAGUAAUCCGCUGAUAGAUGGGCUUACGGCUGAUUAGCUAGUUGGUGGGGUAAUGGCCUACCAAGGCGACGAUCAGUAGCCGGACUGAGAGGUUCAACGGCCACAUUGGGACUGAGAUACGGCCCAGACUCCUACGGGAGGCAGCAGUCGGGAAUUUUGCGCAAUGGAGGAAACUCUGACGCAAGUGACGCCGCGUGCAGGAUGAAGGUUUUCGGAUUGUAAACUGCUUUAGACAGGGAAGAAAAAGGACAGUACCUGUAGAAUAAGCUCCGGCUAACUACGUGCCAGCAGCAGC
rnacentral:rRNA from 1 species